AUUUUGUUUUGUGCUAUGUAUCGAGAUUGUUGUUGUAAAGUAAGAGCCAAAAUGCAGAUUAGGUCAAGCUAUCCCUAUGUUUUCAAAUCAGGCUAGGUUAAUUUGAUGUGGAUAAGCAAUUUUGCAUGUACCUAAUUGUGCAGGUUCAAGGUUUAAUCCCCAAUUCGAUUCGCCGUGUGCCAAUUUAGUUAUAGGUUAUAGUGAACAUUUUUCCUCAAGCAACUGUGUUGAAUUAAAAGUUGUACCAAAUUAGGCUAAAAUUAAAUUCCUAAACUUUCUUGAAUCAUGAGUUGCUAGGCUAAUUGCAUAGUUAGUUGCUUCUGGGCCACUCAACUAUUAUUGCUCCAUAUAUAGACUAAAAGUCUGCCUAACAUCUGAAACUAGUUCUCUUUUUUCAGUUCUGUUAUUUGGUUGUUAUCAUCAGAUCUAUAUUUUGUUAUUUCUUAUGCUCAAUUUUUGUUGCCUAUGUAUUAACUACCUAGCCUGAUGUUAGCCUUCUCUGGGAAUAUGUAGGACUUUAGAAGUCCUGUUUUUGUGUGUUGACCAAAAAUAUAGGUUACCUUGUUCUAAUAUACAGGAGUGGGAAUCUGGUUUUCUCAGUGUUUUUGCUGAAAAAAAUAGAUCUGUUUUUGCAAUAUAUAGGUUACCUGGUUCUAAUAUAUAGGUUACCUAGUUCUAAUAUAUAGGUUGCCUAGUCUCGUCCAUUUCUGAAAUUGUCAACUUAAAAACCUUCAUAGAAAUGCAGAACAGUCUAAGGUGUACACAAAAAAUAUAUGAAAAGCUUAGAUCUAAACAGGCCUUUUUUCUUAACCGGCCCUUUUUGCUAGUAGAUUGGGCUCUUGCCUCAUCGAAAUGCAGAACAGUCAAUGGUGUACACAAAAAAUAUAUGAAAGGUUUAUAUGAUUAAUUAAAAGUAAAGAUAUCCUUAAAGACUUCAAAUUGUCAACUCGAAACUCACAAGAAAUGCAAACCAAUCUAAGAUUUACACAAAAAAAUCUUGGUCAUCUUCGUCUUGGAAAUCGACUGGAGCGACAACUCCAUCAUCAAUGUAGGUGUCGUCAGGAUCAAGGUCUUCGUCUGCUAUGUUCUCAUCACCAGGUUCAGGCAUGGGUGAAGCACGCGCAUUCUCAAUAACUGAAGCAUCAUCACUGACCCCUUCCACGUCGGUCCUACGCCAAGCUGUCAACUCAUCUUGAUUAUGUUGAACAUUCAUAUGUUCCACUCCUACUACGAGUGAGUCAGCAUCGGUAUCAGCAACAAUAUUAGAACUGUCUUCUCCUUCAGGCAUUGCAAAUAGGUUCCUAGGUUUCAGUCUAAGGACGCUGCACCAAUUAGCUCUCUUAGCGGUUUUCACAUAACACACCUUCUCUGCCUGUGUGGCCAGGAUGUAUGGCUCGUCUGCAUAUCAACGCAAAGUGAUAUCAAUAUCGAUGAUCCCAUAUUGAUCUUUAUUGAACCUUCUUGAUUUCGUCCUAUUUGCUCCAGGAACAUCAAACCACUCGCACUCGAACAAUACGACUUCCUUCUCGUCAGGAAAUUCAAGGGUAAUGAUUCUUUUAAGAACUCCGUACCACUCCAUGCCAUCACCCAUGACAACAACACCGCUGUUCUGAGUGACUAGGGAUUUCUCUAGAUCAAUGGUCCGAAAGAGAAAGCCAUUAAUGACACACCUAUUGGACACACGAACUCGAUGAUCUGGACCACGAGAUAGAUUAUAUAGAUUUUCUUCGACUUCUCCCUGUUCAUGCAGUGUCCUAAUAUGCGGUUACAGUUACAUGUGAAAUAUAUUAGUAAUAUACAUAAAAAAUUGACAAGGUACAAAUGAUCCGAGAUAUAUCGCUCACUUUACGUUCAAACCAAGACACAAAUUGUUUCUUGUGCCUUUCUUCAACUUUGUGCGUGCUGGUUUUCCUCAAUUCAGCCAUAUGCUGUCUGAAAAUUUGUUAAUAAUCUCCUCAGUUAAAUGUAUAGUCAGCACAUAAAUACUAGAAAUUUCUAAUAAUAAAAUUUCACAUGAAACUUACUCUAUCCAAUCAUUGGUCUCUUCACUGUUUGAAAGUAUGUAGUACCUCAUCUUCUGCAAGACAGAAUCAGGUAUAGUCUCGAGACUUACUAUGGCACGAUCGAAGUCCAAUUUCUCAAAUACACUUAGCCCAGAAGGUGGUUCAUCAGCGCUCUGUACAUGACGAUCUGCCCUGUUCUCCUUUGUAGAAAUGUCAUCAAAGAACCGAGAACAGAAUGUAGUGCACUCCUCCGAGAUAUAUCCCUCUGCUAUUGAACCUUCUGGCAGCGCUUUGUUCCUCACAUAGCCUUUCAGUGUACGUAGAUACCUUUCUACUGGAUACAUCCAUCUAUAGCAAACCGGGCCUCCAAGUCUAGCCUCUUCAGCUACAUGAACUGGUAAAUGCACCAUAAUAUAAAAAAACGCUGGUGGGAAUAUCAUCUGUAAGCGACAAAGGGUCUCUGAAAUCAAACUGCUAAGUUUUUCGAGUUCAGCCACCUCCAGCUCCUUCGAACAUAUUGAGUUAAAGAAGCUACUGAGCUGGAUCAAUGGGAUCGCUAUAACUUCAGGCAAUAUAUGGCGUACCACCAAGGGUAUAAGUUUUUGUAACAUAACAUGGUAGUCAUGACUUUUAACUCCAACAAGCUUGCAACCGGCGACGUCAACACAUCGCCUAAUAUUUGAGGCAUAACCAUCUGGCAUCUUCACCUCUUGUAGAAAUUUGCACAUGAUUUGCUUCUUUUCUUUCUCUAAGUAGUACAACCCUGGCGGUAAAGUGUAUUUACCAUCGGUGAUCUCUGGAUGCAUAUCCGUCCUUAUACCCAUAUGUUGCAGAUCAAGUCGAGCCUUCUCACCAUCCUUAGAUUUACCAUCUAUACCAAGCAAUGUCCCCAUCAAACUCUCACAUAUGUUCUUCUCAACAUGCAUCACAUCUAAAUUAUGGCGUAUAAGCAAUGAUUUCCAAUAAGGAAGCUAAAAAAAAUACUCUUCUUCCUCCAGUUGUGCCACCUAUUAUCUUCAUCACGCUGCUUCCUCUUCCUUGAACCAAUUCUGAAAGUUACUUGCUCGAAACUAGUGUACUGCUACAAUACCUCCUCACCAUUGAGCGGCACCGGACGCUCCCUGGUUUCAUAGCUGUUAUUGAAGUUGUCCUUGUUUCUUCGCCACCUGUGGUCCAAGGGCAAAAAAUGGCGAUGCCCCAUGUAGCAAUGCUUUGAACCAAAUUUUAACCAAAGGUGAUCAGUAUACUGGUGACAAUAAGGACAAGCAAACUUGCCUUUCGUGCUCCAACCAGAUAACAUCGCAUAUGCAAGGAAAUCGUUUAUUGUCCAAAGAAGUAGUGCACGUAGAGUAAAAUUCUUCUUCACCUUCGCAUCCCAUGCUUCAACUCCUUUUUCCCAUAGCAAUUUAAGCUCAUUGAUCAGAGGCUGCAAAUACACAUCAAUGUUCAUUCCUGGAGAUUUAGGCCCAGGUAUCAGCAUGGACAUCAUCCAGUAAGAUUGUUUCAAGCACAACCAAGGAGGCAGGUUAUAAGGAAUUAGGAUCACCGGCCAUGUAGUGUUAAGUCACACUGAGCAUCCCAAAAGGAUUGAAGCCAUCUGAUGCAAGUCCCAACCUAACAUUACAUGGAUCCAAUGCAAAUUCUUUAUACUGCUCGUCAACGUGCUUCCAUUCAAGUGAGUCGGUUGGGUGCCGCAUUUUCCCAUCCUGCACUAAUUUUUCCUUGUGCCAACGCAUAUGCAACGAUGUGAUCUCAUUCAUAUAUAAUCUUCGCAGACGAGGAACAAGUGAAAAAUACCUAAGUAUUUUACGAGGAAGCGGCUUCUUUGCUCCAUCGGGAUCUCUCGUUUUCCACCUACUCUCCCCACAUGUUGGACACUCGUCCAUAUCUUUGUAGGCUCCAUGAAAUAACACACAGUCAUUCACACAAGCAUGAAUCUUUUCGUAGUCCAGACCAAGAUCUCGAACUACUUUUCGAACUUUAUCCAAGCUAUCUGGAACACAAUGUCCUUCUGGGAGCAAAAGACUGAACAAGUGAAGUAUCUGCUCCAUGCCUUGGUUGCUAAUACCGAACAUGCACUUAAUCUGAAAUAGCCUGACAAUGAAAGAUACUUUGGUAGCCUCCUUGCAACCUGGGUACAAUUCUUUCUUCGCUUCUUGCAUUAAGUUGAAGAAUUUCUUUGCAGACUCAUUUGGCUCCUCCUUAUCACCACUUCCUGUUAUUUUUCCAUCUAUAGCUCCACUGAUUAGUGAUGUAAAGAGAUCUUUGGUAGAGCUUGAAUCGUCUCGUGAUUCGGCUUCACUGAAGUCACAAUCAUCAUCCAUAGGUUCAGCAACGCGAAGUUUCUGUUUAAUAAAAUCCUUAUCAAACCCUUUUGUCAGCAAGUGCUGUUCAACCUCUGUUUUUGUUAUGUACACUAGGCAACGACACCUGCAACAUGGACAUGCCGUAGUCUGGCCUGGAUAGUUCCCUUGAAAUUCUUUCUCAAUGAAUUGCUGGAAACCGGCUUGCCACGCUUCAUCUGUAUGUGGCAAUAGCAUCCAACUCCUAUCAGCAUCGUGUGACAUCUUAAUUUACAGUUCCUGCAGCGAUGGAAAAAGAGCGACCAACUGAUUUAACACAUGCCAAACAAAUGUUUCCCUCUUCUCAAAUGAAUGAACGUGAAUAUGUAAAUUAACCAUAUAUAUAUUGACAAACUUAUUUGGGUUGAUACUUAUUCGGGUUGAAACUUGAAAGGGCUGGUCUCUGCAGAUUCCUCUUCUAAUUUUGUCUGGUAGGUUGAAACUUACUCCGUAUUUGGGUUCAAAUGGAAUAAGUUCAUGAGUUAUCAGCCAUGUGAUCAGGAAGGUGAGCCUCUUCCAGGAACCGAGCUAAAAGAGAUCUGGAGAGUAGCUCCUACUCCACCGAGUGACAAGUACCAGUAUACAUACUUCGCGCACAAAAUAAAUAGCUUUGAUAUGGAUCGAAGUAUGUUAAUUGUAAUUUUGAACUGGUAGAUGUAGUUUUCAAAUGCUAGGUGUAGUUUUGAAUUGCUAGAUGUAGUUUUGAAUUGCUAGAUGUAGUUUUGAACUGCUAGAAGUAAUUUACUGAUCGUGUGUUCAGAGAUUCCCGUCGGAGGAGGCAUCAUCCCAUUUUUGUUGCUUCCUACAAAAUUAUUGUUCCGUGCUGGUCUUGUGUGUCCAGAGGUUCUUGUUUGAGAAGGGGUCAUCUCAUUCUGUAUGUGUUGGCAUGGUUAAAAAUCAUAGCUUUAUUUUUAUUGGGGAGUUGGUAUUCUUACAGGAGUACCAUUUCGUUUGAAUAUAUACAAAUGUCAUUCACUUAGUUGUCAGGUAGAAUUUGAAUUGUGUUAUACCUGUUUUCAUCUAUGACAUAUAGGGCUUGAUCAUUUGAUUUGUGAAGGGAAUUUAUAUCUACUUUUAUGCUAUGCAGGCAUGUGACUAUUUUUGCAGCAAAGAUAUGUCUUCUCAUUGCUCUCUACGGGUGAACUAUCUUGUACCUGACACUCUGCUGUUAGAGAAGUAAUUGCAGUAGUACCUUUGGAACCUGGUUCCAGAAGGUUUCAGUAUUUUUGGUCUUUUUUAUCUGAACUUUGUGUUUUCCAAACAUGGCGAAAUGCUAUUGGAUGUAAAAUUGGUUGCUGAGAUUUACCCGGCUACAGUAGGAAUUGAAUUAGAGAAAAUUGUAGCAGUA